UACGGGGGGGAGCAAGCGUUGUUCGGAUUUACUGGGCGUAAAGGGCGCGUAGGCGGUCAGCACAAGUCAGUUGUGAAAUCUCCGGGCUUAACUCGGAAAGGUCAACUGAUACUGUGCGACUAGAGUGCAGAAGGGGGCAACUGGAAUUCUCGGUGUAGCGGUGAAAUGCGUAGAUAUCGAGAGGAACACCUGCGGCGAAGGCGGGUUGCUGGGCUGACACUGACGCUGAUGCGCGAAAGCCAGGGGAGCGAACGGG
rnacentral:rRNA from 1 species